rnacentral:sRNA from 1 species
CAAAAUUAUACGUAAAAAUUUCGUAGUUAUCAUUUUCUUUUUUUAAAUAAUAUUAAAAUUAUAAAAUGGAUUACACUUGGGCGGUUACAUUGCUGUUGGGUUGCGUAUUGGGCUUUGUAGUCGGUCUCCAUUCGUAAACCGCAAAGAGAACAUGCUUUGAGACGUCACGUUCCAAGCAACCCCAAGGAAUCAGAUCAGUAUAAAGUAGUGUUCCGUGAGUAAUUCAAGUAGAUAGGGGUAUAUAAACAGAAAAGAAAAUGAAGUUGGAUUGGCUAGUCACUCUGCUGGUGGGCUGCAUUCUUGGUUAUUUAAUUGGCGUUCAAUGUUGAGCUUCCAGCAAGUCGAGAAACUAGAUGAAAAAUUGACAUGAGUUAAGAAAUUUCUCAGAGGGGAGACGACGUUGCUCAUAACCACAUUAUCUAGUGUAAGGACAUUUUUUCUCCCCAAGGAAUCAGAUCAGUAUAAAGUAGUGUUCCGUGAGUAAUUCAAGUAGAUAGGGGUAUAUAAACAGAAAAGAAAAUGGAGUUGGAUUGGCUAGUCACUCUGCUGGUGGGCUGCAUUCUUGGUUAUUUAAUUGGCGUUCAUUGUUGAGCUUCCAGCAAGUCGAGAAAAUAUAUGCAAAAUUGACAUGAGUUAAGAAAUUUCUCAGAGGGGAGACGACGUUGCUCAUAACCACAUUAUCUAGUGUAAGGACAUUUUUUUCUCCACUAGAUCUUCAUGAUGAGUCACAUUAUAUCAUAUGGCCUGGGUUUAAUAACGGGCUUGAUGCUGUGCAAACGUUGUGGUCCACCCUAACCAGGUUACAAAAUUACCGAUUGAAGAAACUAAAUCAUUUCCUAUCAAGACAUAUAAAUCAAAUAUGUACAAACUAGAUAAAGUGCAAUAAUAUUAGAAAUAUGUAGUAUAUAAGCAAUAAAUAAUGAUCAAAUAUUGA